CACAAGUAUAUUUUUAAUAAACCUGUAAAACCGUCUGACCACUUUAAAACAUUUCUGAAUUCCUAAAACUGGAAUGGGAUUUUUGUUAUGAAAAAAUACCUACAGUCACACACCGAAAAGCAGAAUAACAACUACAAAAAUCCAACAGGCAUUAGCAAUUUAAAUGCUACCAUAACAAUAAAACAGUAAAACAAUUUGGCUACAGUGUGUUUUUGAAUUUUAC